rnacentral:rRNA from 1 species
AUUGAACGCUGGCGGCAGGCCUAACACAUGCAAGUCGAGCGGAUGAAGGGAGCUUGCUCCUGGAUUCAGCGGCGGACGGGUGAGUAAUGCCUAGGAAUCUGCCUGGUAGUGGGGGGUAACGUCCGGAAACGGGCGCUAAUACCGCAUACGUCCUGAGGGAGAAAGUGGGGGAUCUUCGGACCUCACGCUAUCAGAUGAGCCUAGGUCGGAUUAGCUAGUUGGUGGGGUAAAGGCCUACCAAGGCGACGAUCCGUAACUGGUCUGGGAGGAUGAUCAGUCACACUGGAACUGAGACACGGUCCAGACUCCUACGGGAGGCAGCAGUGGGGAAUAUUGGACAAUGGGCGAAAGCCUGAUCCAGCCAUGCCGCGUGUGUGAAGAAGGUCUUCGGAUUGUAAAGCACUUUAAGUUGGGAGGAAGGGCAGUAAGUUAACACCUUGCUGUUUUGACGUUACCAGCAGAAUAAGCACCGGCUAACUUCGUG